GGAACAGAACAACUCCAAGUCCGAGAUGAUGCCAGCAGGAGUCAUGAGCUUCCUUCCCAUCAGCUCCUCAGCCUGCCCUCCCCACCCCACCUCCUCGCUCCCCACCCUUCGCAGCCCCCAAAAGUUUCACCGCGGUGCCUCAUUCUCAAGUUCCACCUGAGAUGCAUCGUGUGGCGGAAUGAAUGACGCUGGUGGGGGAAAAAAAAGUCCGCCUUGCUUCCACUUGGUCCUGAAAGAAACACUUUUUCUUGGAAACAAAUGUCAUUGAUUUCACAGGAACUUCCUUGAGAGUACAAUUCCGUAAUCCAAUCCAUGCAGAAUCAUUGUCAUGAAACCGUUUUGAGAGGCUCGCCUCUGGAAAACCUGUUGCAAGCAGCGCCCGCCACCUUGUGGGAAGUGAGAAACGUGCAUGGCUGAAUAUUGAGAAAAGGGUUCAGUUUCCUCUUGUUUAUGGGGACUUUUAAAUUAAUAAUCCCUAAGUAAAGGCUUUUAACUUGUAUAACUGCUGGCCACUGUGGUGUACUCGUGGAUGGGGUGGGGGGGGAGCUUGCCCCUAUAUUAUUGAAAUAUUAUUGUACUCCAUAUCAGAAAGAGAGUCACGAUAUUCCCUGGAAUGUUGAAGAUCACAUCAAUCCCAGAUUGCCUUUCCAGACAUUCUUCUGGAGUUUCACAUGGUUAUGAUCGGAGGAAACAGUGGACUCAAGCCAAAGGAGAAUGAAAUCAUAUCCAAGCCCUGGCAUUAGUCCAUCAAUAAUCAAGUAAGUGGGCAAAACGACUCUCCAAAGGGUCAGGCUUAGCACAGCAGGCUAAACUGCUAGCUGAAGAAAAAUCAUGCCAAUCAAAAGGUCAGCAGUUCGAGCCCAGGUCGGGGUGAGCACCUGCCAUUAGCCUCAGCUCCCUUUCCACCUACCAGAUUGAAAGCAGAAAUGUGAGUAGAUAAAUUGGUACUGCUUUUAGCAGGUAGGUAAUAUAAGCGCCCUUAAGGAUAUCGAUCAGGAGGAUGUCUAAGGAUGACAAAGCUCUGCAGAAUGGAAUAUGAAGCGACAGCGCGCGCACACACGCACACACACCUGUGAUCAGAGUCGAGCACACCCUCCAAGACACCAGAAAUAAGAUGGGGAAAUGCCUUCACAUCUGUCUGUGUAUUGUCUGUGCUUGUUAACUCUCUAGUGGAACUCUCUACCCCGGACUGUGAUGGAGGCUCCUUCUUUGGAGGCUUUUAAGCAGAGGCUGGAUGGCCAUCUGUCGGGGGUGCUUUGAAUGAGAUUUUCCUGCUUCUUGGCAGGGGUUGGACUGGAUGGCCCAUGAGGUCUCUUCCAAUUCUACUAUUCUAUUAUUCUAAUUGUAUAAUGGCAUUGAAUGCUGGUCGUAUGUGUGUUCUGUAAUCCGCCCUAAAUCCUCUCGGGGAGAUAAAGCAGAAUAUAAAUAAAGUAUUUUAAAAUUUA